UUUAAUUGAAUAAAUAAAUGAUUAUAAUGAAUAAAUAAAUAAAAAAUGUAAUGAAUAAAUUCAAUUCUUUAGUGAAUAAAUAAUACAAAUAGAAUGAAUAAAUACAAAAAUUCAUUACAUAUCUAAUUGUUUGUUUUUGAAAUAAUGUCGUAAUUGCACAUUAUUUAAUCUAAAAAAGAAAAAAAAAUUAAUGAAAUGUCAUCCAUAAAAAAAUUUAACAGAACUUCCGAACAACGAACUUAUC
rnacentral:lncRNA from 1 species